UGAUGUGAGAACGAUCUGGCUGUGGUAUCUGUCACCCCCAUUGAUUGCCAAGGUUGAUUUGGCUGAUCUGUCUGGCCAGGUGGGUAUCCAUUUUCUCCCUCACCAUUCUACGUGUUCUCUCCUGAAGCUGAACAUAGCUCCAAGAAGACAACUUGUCCUGAUAGAGGACCAUUCUUCAGGUAGCUGAGCUCCCCUGCGAGAUCCUAUAAACAAGCUCUCCAGGUCCAUUUGUAGGAGAAGGUAGACUAAUAAAGCUUCCAAGACUCCAGACACAUCCAAAUGAGGUGCUGCAGGUGGCAGUCUGCCUUUAUUA
rnacentral:snRNA from 1 species